UGAGUAACGCGUGGGUAACCUGCCCUGUACAGGGGGAUAACAGUCAGAAAUGACUGCUAAUACCGCAUAAGACCACAGCACCGCAUGGUGCAGGGGUAAAAACUCCGGUGGUACAGGAUGGACCCGCGUCUGAUUAGCUGGUUGGUGAGGUAACAGCUCACCAAGGCGACGAUCAGUAGCCGGCUUGAGAGAGUGAACGGCCACAUUGGGACUGAGACACGGCCCAAACUCCUACGGGAGGCAGCAUG
rnacentral:rRNA from 1 species